AUUGAACGCUGGCGGCAUGCCUUACACAUGCAAGUCGAACGGUAACAGGUCUUCGGAUGCUGACGAGUGGCGAACGGGUGAGUAAUACAUCGGAACGUGCCCGAGAGUGGGGGAUAACGAGGCGAAAGCUUUGCUAAUACCGCAUACGAUCUCAGGAUGAAAGCAGGGGACCGCAAGGCCUUGCGCUCACGGAGCGGCCGAUGGCAGAUUAGGUAGUUGGUGGGAUAAAAGCUUACCAAGCCGGCGAUCUGUAGCUGGUCUGAGAGGACGACCAGCCACACUGGAACUGAGACACGGCCCAGACCCCGACGGGAGGCAGCAGUGGGGAAUUUUGGACAAUGGGCGCAAGCCUGAUCCAGCCAUGCCGCGUGCAGGAUGAAGGCCUUCGGGUUGUAAACUGCUUUUGUACGGAACGAAAAGACUCUGGUUAAUACCUGGGGUCCAUGACGGUACCGUAAGAAUAAGCACCGGCUAACUACGUGCCAGCAGCCGCCGUAAAAC
rnacentral:rRNA from 1 species